rnacentral:lncRNA from 1 species
UUUUUCCGUUACCACAAAUGCGACCAAGCAUGCCUUGAAAGUGGGAUAUGAAGACGCUACAUCCGAGCCUUCGUAGAAGUCCGAAUUGAUGAACCACUGCAAGUUUUCAGAGAACUCCCAACAAAAGAGAAGGAGAUGCUUGAGUUUAAAUUUGAGAAGGUAACUCAUUAUUGUCUAUAUUGCGGAAGGAUGGGACACUCAGCAAGCUACUAUGAGUGCAAAGAAGAGGAAAUUAACAAAGGGGGAAGUGGCGACCUACCAGGGAUCUACGAGUACUGAAUCAGGGCGGGUUCUGGCCCCAGGAAGGAUGUAUACUGGAUAUAACAAUGAUGUAAUAAUGAUAUAAAUGUGAAUGUAAAAUUUUACAUAUGAAAUCGACAUAAUAAGCCUAUUAAAAGACAUAAUAAAAAAUGCAUAACAGACUCAUAAAGUGUAUAUAUUACCGAUAUAAAAGAGUGGUAAACUGGAUAUAACGAUAAUAAAUUCAACUACUCGUAAUGUGGACUUAACAACGACAUAACGAGCCCGUAAAAUGGUCGUAUUAGCGACAUAACAUGUUCGUACAAUGAUCACACUCAUGUGACUUUUCCCAAUUUUUUUGUUUCGAAACUACCCUCACUUCGUUUGACUCAUUUUCGGCCGUUGGAUCAAAGUUGACCAAAAAAUAGCCUAAUCCAACGACUCACGAUCUGCCGAGACAAUCUCUCGGAUCUGGCUCUCGAACCAUUAGCAUGGUUGCUAUCCUAAAGCAUACUCAUGGGGAUUGAUAGGUCUGAGUCCCAGCAAGUCGGCCAAAGCCAAACAUCACGUGGACCAAGUUAAUGACGGAUCCAAAAUCGAAAUGUGUAUUGAGCCGUAUUUGAAUUGAAUUUUGUGUAUUGACUAUUGAGUAACCACUUUUCAAAAAUAUUUUUUAAACAUAAUAAUAAGUUAAAAUAUACGAAAAAACAUUAGUUGUGCUAUUUUUAGUUAAAGUUGUAUUUCAAGAUUAAAUGUGCCACCAACGAUUUUUUUAUAAUCAAGUAAUAAUAAAUGCGAGUACUUAGCCGAGAUUAUGAUUAAUAUAUAUCAAGUAUUGAACCGAAACAAUAUAACACUAAACCGGAUCUAAAAUUGUCUUGAGCCAGAUUCAAAAAAAUCGUAAAUAUAUAUGAAAUUACGGUCCGAAAUUACCCUAAAUCGUGACGGACUCUGGCUCUUUUGGAUCCGCCCCUGGAUCGAGUUUGCCUCAAAAGAUUAGGGUCAUUUACUCAGAAGCGAAUAAGAAUGCGGGAGGUUGUUAUUGGUGGGUAUUUUGGUGUGUAUAAAAUAAUAAAAAUCCGAAGGUAGGUAGCAGGAAAAGAUGUGGAUGGAUUGGAGUAACGCACCAGUAAAAGCAGGCAGGAAAUUUGAAGUAAGAAGUGCUAUUCGCUGGCAGCCAUUCGGUGACGUGGUAGGCAGACAGCAAAAGCACCGCUCCAAGCAAAGCAAAGCAACAGCGGCUGCACACUUUCUAACCUCCCACUCCCACGUUUAUACCAUUCCACCACUACCAUCUUAUUAGAAACAAUAAAACAAAAACCAAGAGGGUAAAAAGAUCUCUCAGAAAUGAAAAACCUUCAGCUCCUUGUUCAAGUCAUACCUAUUGCAUGCAAACGCACAAGACUGUUAAGGUGACACGUGUUGAAACAGCCAGCAAUAACCGACUCCAAGAUUUCGAAAACAGAGGACCAGAGCGAGCCAGAGGUCAGAAGUUUGUUUCUGUAAAUAAAACUGAAUUUUCGUACCUCCCAAUCCAAAUUCUGACAGAUGGAUCCACGCAUGGAAGCCACACCCCACACGCGUUAGUCAGAGUCGGGAGACCUUUCCUUCAUUGAUUGGUGGGUUUGGGUUUCAAGACCAAAGUGGGGGAAUCAAUCCAGUAGUAGUAAUAAUCUGAAUUAUCACUGGGUGGGAGUUGUCCUGACUUUAUCCGUGUGUGUGAAUCAAUGGAUGAGACUCGACUCUUUUCUUUUACAACUGCUGUUUCAGUUAUCUCUUUUACCUUCCUUCUUUGCGUUAAAUGAGGCAGAGAGAGACAGAGAGAGACAGAGAGAGGAAGGCCAUAUCCAGUGUACCUGAAAAAUAGUGAUAUGUGUUAGCAUGCAUGGACCCAAUAAUACAUACUAUCCCACAUGUCCUUCCUUCUUAAACUCUCUCAAACACGUACACCUCAUGCUUCGGUUCCAAAUGUCGCUAUUUCCUUCCUAUUUGCUUCAUGCAGCCUCAUUGGCUGCUACCAUCUUCACUUAAAUACCCCACCCCUCAUUCCCCACCACCUUACUCAUCAUGCCUCCCUCGCUUCACUUUCACUUCCCUCCCUCAUUAUCCUUGCCAAUGCUUCUCCUACGAAUCUACCAAUAAGAAAAAUCAAGAAUUCCCUUCCUUUGUGAAAUUUCAGAGCCCGAGAUUGAGUUUGUGCCUUCAGCAGCUUCAACUCACUUUCUC